rnacentral:rRNA from 1 species
AGUGAACGCUGGCGGUAGGCCUAACACAUGCAAGUCGAACGGCAGCACAGUAAGAGCUUGCUCUUACGGGUGGCGAGUGGCGGACGGGUGAGGAAUACAUCGGAAUCUACUUUUUCGUGGGGGAUAACGUAGGGAAACUUACGCUAAUACCGCAUACGACCUACGGGUGAAAGCAGGGGAUCUUCGGACCUUGCGCGAUUGAAUGAGCCGAUGUCGGAUUAGCUAGUUGGCGGGGUAAAGGCCCACCAAGGCGACGAUCCGUAGCUGGUCUGAGAGGAUGAUCAGCCACACUGGAACUGAGACACGGUCCAGACUCCUACGGGAGGCAGCAGUGGGGAAUAUUGGACAAUGGGCGCACGCCUGAUCCAGCCAUACCGCGUAGGUGAAGAAGGCCUUCGGGUUGUAAAGCCCUUUUGUUGGGAAAGAAAAGCAGCAGGUUAAUACCCCGCUGUUCUGACGGUACCCAAAGAAUAAGCACCGGCUAACUUCGUG